rnacentral:rRNA from 1 species
AUUGAACGCUGGCGGCAGGCCUAACACAUGCAAGUCGAACGAGUGGCGGACGGGUGAGUAAUGUCUGGGGAACUGCCUGAUGGAGGGGGAUAACUACUGGAAACGGUAGCUAAUACCGCAUACCAUCGGAUGUGCCCAUAUGGGAUUAGCUAGUAGGUGGGGUAACGGCUCACCUAGGCGACGAUCCCUAGCUGGUCUGAGAGGAUGAUCAGCCCAACUGGAACUGGGACACGGUCCAGACUCCUACGGGAGGCAGCAGGUGGGAAUAUGGCACAAAGGGAGCAAGGCUGAUCCAGCCAUGCCGGGGGUAGGAAGAAGGCUUUCCGGUUGUAAAGCACUUUUAGUGGGGAAGAGUUAACCGCAGAAGAAGCACCCGCUAACUCCGUGCCAGCAGCCGCGGUAAUAC